rnacentral:rRNA from 1 species
UGGGACAUGGAGGAAACUCUGAUCCAGCCAUGCCGCGUGCAGGAAGACGGCCCUAUGGGUUGUAAACUGCUUUUAUAUAGGAAGAACCUUUUCACGUGUGAAAGCUGACGGUACUAUAAGAAUAAGGACCGGCUAACUCCGUGCCAGCAGCCGCGGUAAUACGGAGGGUCCGAGCGUUAUCCGGAAUCAUUGGGUUUAAAGGGUCCGUAGGCGGGAAUCUAAGUCAGUGGUGAAAUCUUACAGCUCAACUGUAGAAUUGCCAUUGAUACUGGGUUUCUUGAAUUAGUGUGAAGUGAUUAGAAUGUGUAGUGUAGCGGUGAAAUGCAUAGAUAUUACACAGAAUACCAAUUGCGAAGGCAGAUCACUAACACUAUAUUGACGCUGAGGGACGAAAGCGUGGGGAGCGAACAGGAUUAGAUACCCUGGUAGUCCACGCCGUAAACGAUGGCAUACUAGCUGUUCGGUCUUCGGAUUGAGUGGCUAAGCGAAAGUGCAUAAGCUAUCCCACC